rnacentral:rRNA from 1 species
GACGAACGCUGGCGGCGUGCUUAACACAUGCAAGUCGAACGGAAAGGCCCUGCUUUUGUGGGGUGCUCGAGUGGCGAACGGGUGAGUAACACGUGAGUAACCUGCCCUUGACUUUGGGAUAACUUCAGGAAACUGGGGCUAAUACCGGAUAGGAGCUCCUGCUGCAUGGUGGGGGUUGGAAAGUUUCGGCGGUUGGGGAUGGACUCGCGGCUUAUCAGCUUGUUGGUGGGGUAGUGGCUUACCAAGGCUUUGACGGGUAGCCGGCCUGAGAGGGUGACCGGCCACAUUGGGACUGAGAUACGGCCCAGACUCCUACGGGAGGCAGCAGUGGGGAAUAUUGCACAAUGGGCGGAAGCCUGAUGCAGCAACGCCGCGUGCGGGAUGACGGCCUUCGGGUUGUAAACCGCUUUCGCCUGUGACGAAGCGUGAGUGACGGUAAUGGGUAAAGAAGCACCGGCUAACUACGUGCCAGCAGCCGCGGUGAUACGUAGGGUGCGAGCGUUGUCCGGAUUUAUUGGGCGUAAAGGGCUCGUAGGUGGUUGAUCGCGUCGGAAGUGUAAUCUUGGGGCUUAACCCUGAGCGUGCUUUCGAUACGGGUUGACUUGAGGAAGGUAGGGGAGAAUGGAAUUCCCGGUGGAGCGGUGGAAUGCGCAGAUAUCAGGAGGAACACCAGUGGCGAAGGCGGUUCUCUGGGCCUUUCCUGACGCUGAGGAGCGAAAGCGUGGGGAGCGAACAGGCUUAGAUACCCUGGUAGUCCACGCUGUAAACGGUGGGUACUAGGUGUGGGGUCCAUUCCACGGGUUCCGUGCCGUAGCUAACGCUUUAAGUACCCCGCCUGGGGAGUACGGCCGCAAGGCUAAAACUCAAAGGAAUUGACGGGGCCCCGCACAAGCGGCGGAGCAUGCGGAUUAAUUCGAUGCAACGCGUAGAACCUUACCUGGGUUUGACAUGGAUCGGGAGCGCUCAGAGAUGGGUGUGCCUCUUUUGGGGUCGGUUCACAGGUGGUGCAUGGCUGUCGUCAGCUCGUGUCGUGAGAUGUUGGGUUAAGUCCCGCAACGAGCGCAACCCUUGUUCACUGUUGCCAGCACGUUAUGGUGGGGACUCAGUGGAGACCGCCGGGGUCAACUCGGAGGAAGGUGGGGAUGACGUCAAGUCAUCAUGCCCCUUAUGUCCAGGGCUUCACGCAUGCUACAAUGGCUGGUACAGAGAGUGGCGAGCCUGUGAGGGUGAGCGAAUCUCGGAAAGCCGGUCUCAGUUCGGAUUGGGGUCUGCAACUCGACCUCAUGAAGUCGGAGUCGCUAGUAAUCGCAGAUCAGCAACGCUGCGGUGAAUACGUUCCCGGG